rnacentral:rRNA from 1 species
GCCACUGCUAUUGGGGUUCGGCUAAGCCAUGCGAGUGGAGGGCGUCCCGCAAGGGAUGGCCCCGCAGACGGCUCAGUAACACGUCGUCAACCCACCUUAGGGUGGGGGACAACCUCGGGAAACUGAGGAUAAUCCCCAUAGGCGGGGGAGGCUAGAAUGCGCCCCCGCUGAAAGCUCAGGCGCCCUAGGACGGGACGGCGGCCUAUCAGGUAGUUGGUGGUGUGACG